GAAUAUUGCACAAUGGACGAAAGUCUGAUGCAGCAACGCCGCGUGGAGGAUGACGGUCUUUGGAUUGUAAACUCCUUUUCUCAGGGAAGAGAAUGGACGGUACCUGAGGAAUAAGUCACGGCUAACUACGUGCCAGCAGCCGCGGUAAUACGUAGGUGGCGAGCGUUAUCCGGAAUUACUGGGCGUAAAGCGCACGCAGGCGGCUUUUUAAGUUUGACGUGAAAGCUCCCGGCUUAACUGGGAGAGGUCGUUGAAGACUGGAAGGCUUGAGGCAAUGAGAGGGGUGUAGAAUUCCCGGUGUAGUGGUGGAAUGCGUAGAUAUCGGGGGGAAUACCAGUGGCGAAAGCGGCACCCUAGCGUUGUUCUGACGCUCAUGUGCGAAAGCGUGGGGAGCGAACGG
rnacentral:rRNA from 1 species